GAUGAACGCUGGCGGCGUGCUUAACACAUGCAAGUCGAACGAAGCAUUUCUUUUGAAAGUCACCAGCUUGCUGGAGAUGGACAUGUGAAAUGACUGAGUGGCGGACGGGUGAGUAACGCGUGAGUAACCUGCCUUAUACAGGGGGAUAACAGUUGGAAACGACUGCUAAUACCGCAUAAGCUUACAGUAUCGCAUGAUACAGUAAGAAAAAAUCCGGUGGUAUAAGAUGGACUCGCGUCUGAUUAGCUAGUUGGUGAGGUAAUGGCUCACCAAGGCAACGAUUAGUAGCCGACCUGAGAGGGUGACCGGCCACAUUGGGACUGAGACACGGCCCAAACUCCUACGGGAGGCAGCAGUGGGGAAUAUUGCACAAUGGGGGAAACCCUGAUGCAGCGACGCCGCGUGGGUGAAGACGGCCUUCGGGUUGUAAAGCCCUGUCUUCGGGGACGAUAAUGACGGUACCCGAGGAGGAAGCCACGGCUAAUUACGUGCCAGCAGCCGCGGUAAGAC
rnacentral:rRNA from 1 species